rnacentral:rRNA from 1 species
UGCAAGUCGUACGCGUUGGCCCAACCGAUUUGAAGUGCUUGCACGGAUCUGACGUUGGUUUACCAACGAGUGGCGGACGGGUGAGUAACACGUAGGUAACCUGCCCAGAAGCGGGGGACAACACUUGGAAACAGGUGCUAAUACCGCAUAACAAUUCAAAUCGCAUGAUUUGAAUUUGAAAGAUGGUUUUGGCUAUCACUUCUGGAUGGACCUGCGGCGCAUUAGCUUGUUGGUGGGGUAACGGCCUACCAAGGCAGUGAUGCGUAGCCGAAUUGAGAGACUGAUCGGCCACAAUGGGACUGAGACACGGCCCAUACUCCUACGGGAGGCAGCAGUAGGGAAUCUUCCACAAUGGGCGCAAGCCUGAUGGAGCAACACCGCGUGAGUGAAGAAGGUUUUCGGAUCGUAAAGCUCUGUUGUUGAAGAAGAACGUGCAUGAGAGUAACUGUUCAUGCAGUGACGGUAUUCAACCAGAAAGUCACGGCUAACUACGUGCCAGCAGCCGCGGUAAUACGUAGGUGGCAAGCGUUAUCCGGAUUUAUUGGGCGUAAAGAGAGUGCAGGCGGUUUCUUAAGUCUGAUGUGAAAGCCUUCGGCUCAACCGAAGAAGUGCAUCGGAAACUGGGGAACUUGAGUACAGAAGAGGGCAGUGGAACUCCAUGUGUAGCGGUGGAAUGCGUAGAUAUAUGGAAGAACACCAGUGGCGAAGGCGGCUGCCUGGUCUGUAACUGACGCUGAGACUCGAAAGCAUGGGUAGCGAACAGGAUUAGAUACCCUGGUAGUCCAUGCCGUAAACGAUGAGUGCUAGGUGUUGGAGGGUUUCCGCCCUUCAGUGCCGGAGCUAACGCAUUAAGCACUCCGCCUGGGGAGUACGACCGCAAGGUUGAAACUCAAAGGAAUUGACGGGGGCCCGCACAAGCGGUGGAGCAUGUGGUUUAAUUCGAAGCUACGCGAAGAACCUUACCAGGUCUUGACAUCUUGCGCCAACCCUAGAGAUAGGGCGUUUCCUUCGGGAACGCAAUGACAGGUGGUGCAUGGUCGUCGUCAGCUCGUGUCGUGAGAUGUUGGGUUAAGUCCCGCAACGAGCGCAACCCUUGUUACUAGUUGCCAGCAUUAAGUUGGGCACUCUAGUGAGACUGCCGGUGACAAACCGGAGGAAGGUGGGGACGACGUCAGAUCAUCAUGCCCCUUACGACCUGGGCUACACACGUGCUACAAUGGACGGUACAACGAGCAGCGAACUCGCGAGGGCAAGCAAAUCUCUUAAAACCGUUCUCAGUUCGAAUUGCAGGCUGCAACUCGCCUGCAUGAAGUCGGAAUCGCUAGUAAUCGCGGAUCAGCAUGCCGCGGUGAAUACGUUCCCGGGCCUUGUACACACCGCCCGUCACACCAUGAGAGUUUGUAACACCCAAAGUCGGUGGGGUAACCUUUGGAGCC